GGAUCUCUAUGUGGAGGUUCCUCUUUCUGGAGUAUUUGCUUGUCUUUCUGUGCUGAAGGACAUUCAAAAUAAAGACAACCUUCCCUCAAAAAUAUCAAGCUGUGUAAUCCCAGAGGCACAUCUUUCAGGCCAUUCCAGCACCCGCUUUAUCUCCAGUGAUCUCUGACCCCUGCGUGUCAGGAGUUCAAUCUGGCACCAGAGCUCCUGGCUGCCUGUUGACUCCUUGACUUCAUUUAAUGGAAGUGAGCAAAAUAGCAGCUGAAAAUCAAGAUGCCUGAGGAUUUAAAAUAGGAAGAUCAGCAGCACGUCUUGGUGGAGGAAAGGGGUUGUUUGUGUCCAUCCUUUUCAGAUAGCCAGGAUGCUUUGAGGUACAAAGCCUUGGUCACCCUCUUAAGCAGGGGGACCCAUUAAAAACUGCCUGGUCUGCACAGAAGAGCCCUGGAGACGUUGUAAAAGAGGCACCCAAUUUCUCUCCUCUUCCAUGGCCUCUGUCCAAAGGAAGAGACUGCAGAAAGAUGUUGGGGACACCCAGCUGGGGUGCCUUAUCCCCAGGUCCUACAUCUCAGUCUUGGGGCAGUGCUGGGGGGGGAUCCUCAGCCCAUUCCAAUGAGUGUGAAAUAUUCCUUCUUGGGCCACCACAUCUUGAAGCCACCUUUCUUUAAGGCACAGAUCUGGUCAUUUCUUCUUGGCUCUGCACAAAAAAGUACAUGCGCCUGCUUUCUGCCCUUGCUCCUUUCCUUUUUAGAACAAGGAGUAGAAAUAAAAAGGGAAAAGCUUGCAGUGUCUCCAUGGGACAGCAGAGCUUUGAUGGGACAGCUUCCAAAGGGAGAUUUAACCCAGCUUCAUUUCAUCAGAGAGGAAAACCCAAAGCUAAUGCUGAGAGAGAGGCACUCACCCAGGAGCAGCCAUCUACCAAGUGAUACAAGGUGGGGAGACAGAAAUGUUCCUUUUAGCACAGGACAUUCUGUCUGCCUCUGUGGAUCCCAUUCCCAUAGUGAUGGGGACCACAGGGUGAUUUGAUGGGAAUGUGACUGGCUGCUAGUUUAAUUCCUGGGCUCAGCACAACUGUGUAAACCCACCCAAUAAAACUUUUCCCUUCUCUCCUUUGCUUCCACCUCUGCAAAAGGAUGGGCACACCAAGCUCUGUGGGACAAAUGCUGUGUCCCAUGCAACAGUACUCCAGCUGACCCUCUCAGACCACCAGUUUAGGGUCAGGUGUUUCUAUAAGCCUCUAAGCAGACUUCAGGGGGCAUUUCUGAGCUGAGUUGAGAACUCCCUCUCUCACCCUAAUUAUCCACAGGAUGAAAAUAUCCUAGAUCUCCCCAGGAUAUAUUCAGGGAUGCUCCCUGAGGCUGGAGAGCAGAGAAUUCCCCAUUUGGCAUUGCGCUGCAAUCCCAAAGUUCACCCAAGGACAAGAGCAAUGGGGCACUUCAUCCUUCUGAUUGAGCGCACCAUACCCAUGGGUGGCAAGGGGAGCUGAUACCCCAGACAGAGGGCACUGCUGUGCUCCAUCCAAUUAACCCUUCUGAUAGCUUCGAUUAAAAAUAAAGGGGCCUUCAGGUCCCUGCUGGAGUGGCCUAUUUUAUGUGUGCAUCUCCUUGGUUUUGCCUCAGCGUAUGAUGUUCAGGAAGCAGUUAUUUCAGGAAAGGUACGCUAUAGAUAACUGAUCUGCCAGCCAGGUGUCAUGUUCCUUCAUUUAUUUUCAAUUACUUUGUCUCAUUAGCUCCAGUGAGAAUUGCCUGGUGUCAAUUCAUUUGGUCACCUCCGUGCGUGCUGCACCUCUCCAGUGGCACGUC